rnacentral:rRNA from 1 species
AGCGCAACCCCUAUCCCUAGUUGCUAGCAGUUCGGCUGAGAACUCUAGGGAGACUGCCGGUGACAAACCGGAGGAAGGUGGGGAUGACGUCAGGUCAUCAUGGCCCUUACGGCCAGGGCUACACACGUGCUACAAUGGCGCGCACAGAGGGCUGCAAACCCGCGAGGGGGAGCCAAUCUCACAAAACGCGUCGUAGUCCGGAUCGCAGUCUGCAACUCGACUGCGUGAAGUCGGAAUCGCUAGUAAUCGUGAAUCAGAAUGUCACGGUGAAUACGUUCCCGGGCCUUGUACACACCGCCCGUCACACCAUGGGAGUGGAUUGCACCAGAAGUGGUUAGUCUAACCUUCGGGAGGACGAUCACCACGGUGUGGUUCAUGACUGGGGUGAAGUCGUAACAAGGUAGCCGUAGGGGAACCUGCGGCUGGAUCACCUCCUU